rnacentral:lncRNA from 1 species
GACAUUCUCACAAAACCAUUACUGGAAGGCAGAUUCUCAUACUUGGGAAAAAGGAUCAAUAUGCAAUCUGCUCAUUGAAGGUACGAAAACACAGUUUUUCUAUUUUGCAGGUACCGUUCCGUGAAUCAACCAGUUCAACAAAAUUAUGUAUCGUUCAACAUAUCCAUCAGCAAGAAGCUAACGAUAAUCGUUCAGUGAUUACAUCGUACUAUGAAUUUAUCUUCACUACCGUUCAAUCACAGCUGGCAAUGCAAUUGUCAAAGUUCAACGUCAUCAUAUCUGUGGCACGUGCUUCAACAGUUCCCUUCUGACAAGUCACAUU